rnacentral:rRNA from 1 species
CCCUUAGAUGUCCUGGGCCGCACGCGCGCUACACUGAUGCAUUCAACGAGUUUCACCUUGGCUGAGAGGCCUGGGCAAUCUUUUAAACCUGCAUCGUGAUAGGGAUAGAUUAUUGCAAUUAUUAAUCUUGAACGAGGAAUUCCUAGUAAACGCAAAUCAUCAAUUUGCAUUGAUUACGUCCCUGCCCUUUGUACACACCGCCCGUCGCACCUACCGAUUGAAUGGUCCGGUGAAGCCUCGGGAUUGUGGCCAGUUCACUUUAUUGGGAGUUGGCUGUGAGAACUUGUCUAAACCUUAUCAUUUAGAGGAAGGUGAAGUCGUAACA